rnacentral:rRNA from 1 species
UACGGGGGGGGCAAGCGUUGUUCGGAAUUACUGGGCGUAAAGCGUGUGUAGGCGGCUAGGUAAGUCAGAUGUGAAAGCCCCGGGCUCAACUCGGGAAGUGCACUCGAUACUGCUUAGCUCGAGUACCGGAGAGGUUGGUGGAAUUCUCGGUGUAGAGGUGAAAUUCGUAGAUAUCGAGAGGAACACCGGUGGCGAAGGCGGCCAACUGGACGAGUACUGACGCUGAGACACGAAAGCGUGGGGAGCAAACAGG